rnacentral:rRNA from 1 species
GGUCAAGUGAGAGUGGCAUACGGUGGAUGCCUUGGCACCAAGCGCCGAUGAAGGACGUGGGAGGCCGCGUUAGUCCACGGGGAGUUGUCAACCAAGCGUUGAUCCGUGGGUGUCCGAAUGGGGAAACCUAGCCCUUGUCAUGGAGGGUUGCUGCCGUCUGAAUGUAUAGGGCGGUUGGUGGUGACGCGGGGAAGUGAAACAUCUCAGUACCCGUAGGAAGAGUAAACAAGAGUGAUUCCCUGAGUAGUGGUGAGCGAAAGGGGAUGUGGCUAAACCGUGGGCGUGUGAUACCCGGCAGGGGUUGCGUGUGCGGGGUUGUGGGAUGCAUCUGGACUGGUCUGCCGGCUGGUCGCGUUGUGCGCGUGUUGUAGUCGAAGCCGUUGGGAAGCGGUGCCGGAGUGGGUGAGAGUCCCGUAGGCGAAGUGACGCGUGGCGCGUGGGGUGUGGUCCCGAGUAGCGCGGAGCCCGAGGAAUUCCGUGUGAAUCUGGCAGGACCACCUGUCAAGCCAAAAUACGUCUUGGUGACCGAUAGUGCACUAGUACCGUGAGGGAAAGGUGAAAAGUGCCCCGGUGAGGGGUCGUGAAAUAGUACCUGAAACCGUGUGCUGUCAAGCCGUCAGAGCCUGGGCCUCCUUUGGGGGGUGUGUGGGUGAUGGCGUGCCUUUUGAAGAAUGAGCCUGCGAGUCGUGGUGUGUGGCGAGGUUAACCCGGGUGGGGUAGCCGUAGCGAAAGCGAGUCUGAAGAGGGCGUUUGUAGUCGCAUGCUGUGGACCCGAAGCGGAGUGAUCUACCCAUGUCCAGGGUGAAGCGGAGGUAAGACUUCGUGGAGGCCCGAACCCACCAGGGUUGAAAACCUGGGGGAUGAGGUGUGGGUAGGGGUGAAAGGCCAAUCAAACUCCGUGAUAGCUGGUUCUCCCCGAAAUGCAUUUAGGUGCAGCGUCGUGUGUUUCUUGCCGGAGGUAGAGCGACUGGUUGGCUGAUGGGCCCGACAAGGUUACUGAGGUCAGCUAAACUCCGAAUGCCGGUAAGUGAGAGUGCGGCAGUGAGACUGCGGGGGAUAAGCUUCGUAGUCGAGAGGGAAACAGCCCAGAUCAUCAGCUAAGGCCCCUAAGCGUGUGCUAAGUGGGUAAGGUUGUGUAGUUGCUGAGACAACCAGGAGGUUGGCUUAGAAGCAGCCAUCCUUUAAAGAGUGCGUAAUAGCUCACUGGUCAAGUGAUUGUGCGCCGAUAAUGUAGCGGGGCUUAAGCACACCGCCGAAGCUGUGGAUGCAGCACGCCUUUCGGGGUGUGUUGUGUGGUAGGGGAGCGUCCUGCGUGAGGUGAAGUUCCUGGGUGACCGGGGGUGGAUUGCGUGGGAGUGAGAAUGCAGGCAUGAGUAGCGAGACGCAUGUGGGAAACAUGCGCGCCGAUUGACUAAGGGUUCCUGGGGCAGGUUAAUCCGCCCAGGGUGAGUCGGGGCCUAAGGCGAGGCCGACAGGCGUAGUCGAUGGAUAACGGGUUGAUAUUCCCGUACCCGUUCACGUGCGCCCAUACUGAAUCCUUUGAUGCUAACCAUGUCCGGUGUCUAUCGUCGCCUUCGGGUGGUGGUGGGUGCUGGUGUGGGGUCCGAUUGGGUAGUAGGUAAGCGAUGGGGUGACGCAGGAGGGUAGCUCUACCGGGCGGUGGUUGUCCCGGGAUAAGCGUGUAGGCCGGUGUAUAGGUAAAUCCGUGCACCAUGAGGGCUGAGGCGUGAUGUCGAGACGUUUUUGUCGAAGUGAGUGAUCCCAUGCUGUCGAGAAAAGCCUCUAGUGAGUGCGUGGGCGGCCCGUACCCUAAACCGACGCAGGUGGUCAGGUAGAGAAUACCGAGGCGUUCGGGUGAACCGUGGUUAAGGAACUCGGCAAAUUGUCCCCGUAACUUUGGGAGAAGGGGAGCCCUGUCCGGUGAUCAAACUUUGCUUUGUGAGCUGGGUGGGGUCGCAGAUACCGGGGGGAAGCGACUGUUUAUUAAAAACACAGGUCCGUGCGAAGUCGUAAGACGCUGUAUACGGACUGACGCCUGCCCGGUGCCGGAACGUUAAGAGGACUGGUUAGGUGCCCUUUGGGGUGUCGAGGCUGGGAAUCUAAGCGCCGGUAAACGGCGGUGGUAACUAUAACCAUCCUAAGGUAGCGAAAUUCCUUGUCGGGUAAGUUCCGACCUGCACGAAUGGCGUAACGACUUCCCCGCUGUCUCAACCACGGGCCCGGUGAAAUUGCACUACGAGUAAAGAUGCUCGUUUCGCGCAGCAGGACGGAAAGACCCCGGGACCUUCACUAUAGCUUGACAUUGGUGUUUGGGAUGGUUUGUGUAGGAUAGGUGGGAGCUGUGGAUGCGGCCACGCUAGUGGUUGUGGAGGCGUUGGUGAAAUACCACUCUGAUCAUUUCGGGCAUCUAACCUGGGACCGUGAUCCGGUUCGGGGACAGUGUCUGGUGGGUAGUUUAACUGGGGCGGUUGCCUCCUAAAGGGUAACGGAGGCGCCCAAAGGUUCCCUCAUCCUGGUUGGCAAUCAGGGGUUGAGUGUAAGUGCACAAGGGAGCUUGACUGUGAGACGGACGUGUCGAGCAGGUGCGAAAGCAGGGACUAGUGAUCCGGCACCGGCGUGUGGAAGCGGUGUCGCUCAACGGCUAAAAGGUACCCCGGGGAUAACAGGCUGAUCUUCCCCAAGAGUCCAUAUCGACGGGAUGGUUUGGCACCUCGAUGUCGGCUCGUCGCAUCCUGGGGCUGGAGUUGGUCCCAAGGGUUGGGCUGUUCGCCCAUUAAAGCGGCACGCGAGCUGGGUUUAGAACGUCGUGAGACAGUUCGGUCCCUAUCCGCUGCGCGCGUUGGAGACUUGAGAAGGGCUGUCCCUAGUACGAGAGGACCGGGACGGACGAACCUCUGGUGUGCCAGUUGUCCCGCCAGGGGCAUGGCUGGUUGGCUACGUUCGGGAGGGAUAACCGCUGAAAGCAUCUAAGCGGGAAGCUUGCUUCGAGAUGAGGUCUCCUGCCACCUUGAGUGGGUAAGGCUCCCUGGAGAUGACGGGGUUGAUAGGCCGGGUGUGGAAGCCUUGUGAGGGGUGGAGCUGACCGGUACUAAUAGGCCGAGGGCUUGUCCAUCGCAGAUGACUGGAUGCUCGCGCACACUAUUUUCGCG